rnacentral:lncRNA from 1 species
GUAAGUAUAACAAAACUCAUAUUGCAGGCAAAAACCUGUGAAAAAUAGAUCCAAAAAAAAAUGUGAAUUUUGUGACUGUACUAUUUAGUGUCAUUGUUUUAUAGAUACCAUAGUGAGAAAGGAUUCAUUUCGCAACACCUACGGCUUCCACUAGAUGUCAACGAUCUUUAUAAAGUUGUUUGAAGCGUCUAUGAUAAACAGAGAGCAAAUUAGAAUCCAAGGAAGUUGACAUGUCAUCACUUCAUUUUUUUGCGCCUGCGCAUAAAUCUGAGAAACAAACCACAUUUGUUCCGGACCUGGGAUGCCUUCCGGACCUGGGAUGCCUGCCUUCUGAUGGAGAUAAUCAAAGACAAAGUGUACAGUUGGGUGCCAGAGUGAUCCCCUGGUCAUGAAUGAUGCUGGGACCUAACAGAAGCAGCAACGAGUCUCCCUCAACUCCUAUAAAAAGGACACAUCAUCAUGAGGCCUCUGAUAGUGACCCGAGUUACUGCCUUGAUGAAAGACUGCUUCAUCGACGACAGGCUCUCCCAGUCAACACCAUCUCAUAAGAUUGCCUGCUGCAGUUGUUCAAGAGAUGUCCAGUCUGAGCCGAAUAUGCAGCACAGAGAAGACCAACAAGGAGGCUCUCAUCAACGUCCAGGGCAUAACCUAGUCUGGUAGAAUCAGCCUGAUCGCUGUGUUCACCAUUCUAUUUCACUGCACACUUAUGAUAUCUGAAGUGAAACAGAAAGGUGAAUGAAGCAAUCAGGUUGGUUCCCCCAGGCUAAUCAUAACCAUUAUUGAUCAGUGGUGUAAAGUACUUAAGUAAAAAUACUUUAAAAUACUACAUAAGCAGUUUUUUGUGGUAUAUGUACUUUACUAUUUAUAUUUUUGACUACUUUUACUUUUACUUCACUACAUUCCUAAAGAAAAUAAUGUACUUUUUACUCCAUACAUUUUCCCUGACACCCAAAAGUACUCGUUACAUGUAGAGGGCUUAGCAGGACAGGGAUAUGGUCCAAUUCACGCACUUACCAAGGGAACACGUGGUCAUCCCUACUGCCUCUGAUCUGGCGGACUCACUAAAAACAAAUGCAUAGUUUGUAAAUGAUGUCUGAGUGUUGGAGUGUACCCCUUGGCUAUCUGUAAAUGAUGUCUGAGUGUUGGAGUGUACCCCUUGGCUAUCUGCAAAUGAUGUCUGAGUGUUGGAGUGUACCCCUUGGCUAUCUGUAAAUGAUGUCUCAGUGUUGGAGUGGUCCCCCUGGCUAUCUGUAAAUGAUGUCUGAGUGUUGGAGUGUACCCCUUGGCUAUCUGUAAAUUAUGUCUGAGUGUUGGAGUGUACCCCUUGGCUAUCUGUAAAUGAUGUCUCAGUGUUGGAGUGGUCCCCCUGGCUAUCUGUAAAUGAUGUCUCAGUGUUGGAGUGGUCCCCCUGGCUGUUUGUAAAUGAUGUCUCAGUGUUGGAGUGUACCCCUUGGCUAUCUGUAAAUGAUGUCUGAGUGUUGGCGUGGUCCCCUUGGCUAUUCGUACAUUUUAAAAACAAGAACAUGGUGCCAUCUGCUUUGCUUAAUGUAAGGGAUUUGAAAUUAUUCAUACUUUUACUUUUACUACUUAAGUAUAUUUUAGCAAUUACAUUUACUUUUACUACUUAAUUAUAUUUUAGCAAUUACAUUUACUUUUGAUACUUAAGUAUAUUUAUAAGCAAAUACUUUUAGACUUUUACUCAAGUAGUUUUUCACUGGGGGACUUUCAAUUGGGUACUUCUUUCACCACUGCCAUUGAUCAUGUCUGUCUGUCUGUCUGUCUGUCUGUCUGUCUGUCUGUCUGUCUGUCUGUCUGUCUGUCUGUCUGUCUGUCUGUCUGUCUGUCUGUCUGUCUGUCUGUCUGUCUGUCUGUCUGUCUGUCUGUCUGUCUGUCUGUCUGUCUGUC